GCACAAGCGGUGGAUGAUGUGGUUUAAUUCGAUGCAACGCGAAAACCUUACCCACCUUUGACAUGGCAGGAAUCCCGAAGAGAUUUGGGAGUGCUCGAAAGAGAACCUGCACACAGGUGCUGCAUGGCUGUCGUCAGCUCGUGUCGUGAGAUGUUGGGUUAAGUCCCGCAGCGAGCGCAACCCUUGCCAUUAGUUGCUACGAAAGGGCACUCUAAUGGGACUGCCGGUGACAAACCGGAGGAAGGUGGGGAUGACGUCAAGUCCUCAUGGCCCUUAUAGGUGGGGCUACACACGUCAUACAAUGGCCGGUACAGAGGGUAGCCAACCCGCGAGGGGGAGCCAAUCCCACAAAGCCGGUCGUAGUCCGGAUCGCAGUCUGCAACUCGACUGCGUGAAGUCGGAAUCGCUAGUAAUCGCGGAUCAGCAUGUCGCGGUGAAUACGUUCCCGGGUCUU
rnacentral:rRNA from 1 species